rnacentral:rRNA from 1 species
UACGGAGGGGGCGAGCGUUAUUCGGAAUUAUUGGGCGUAAAGGGCGCGUAGGCGGCUUGAUAAGUCAAAGGUGAAAUCCCUCGGCUCAACUGAGGAACUGCCUUUGAAACUGUCGAGCUUGAGGCCGGGAGGGGUAGCGGAAUUCCCAGUGUAGCGGUGAAAUGCGUAGAUACUGGGAGGAACACCGGUGGCGAAGGCGGCUACCUGGACCGGUUCUGACGCUGAGGCGCGAAAGCGUGGGUAGCAAACAGG